rnacentral:snRNA from 1 species
CCAUUUCAGCAGUACAUGCACAAAAACUGUAAUAACUCAGAGAAGGUUAGUGUGGCCUCUCUGCCAGAAUGACAUGCAAAUUCAUGAGCAGAACCUGUUCUUA